rnacentral:rRNA from 1 species
UACAGAGGUGGCAAGCGUUGUUCGGAAUUACUGGGCGUAAAGGGCGCGUAGGCGGCCUUCUAAGUCAGGGGUGAAAUCCUGGAGCUCAACUCCAGAACUGCCUUUGAUACUGGAGAGCUUGAGUUCGGUAGGGGAGACUGGAAUUCCUGGUGUAGCGGUGAAAUGCGCAGAUAUCAGGAGGAACACCGGUGGCGAAGGCGGGUCUCUGGGCCGAUACUGACGCUGAGGAGCGAAAGCGUGGGGAGCGAACAGG